rnacentral:rRNA from 1 species
AACGAACGCUGGCGGCAUGCCUAACACAUGCAAGUCGAACGGCAGCACGGGAGCAAUCCUGGUGGCGAGUGGCGAACGGGUGAGUAAUAUAUCGGAACGUGCCCAGUCGUGGGGAUAACGUAGCGAAAGCUACGCUAAUACCGCAUACGAUCUAUGGAUGAAAGCGGGGGAUCGCAAGACCUCGCGCGAUUGGAGCGGCCGAUAUCAGAUUAGGUAGUUGGUGAGGUAAAGGCUCACCAAGCCGACGAUCUGUAGCUGGUCUGAGAGGACGACCAGCCACACUGGGACUGAGACACGGCCCAGACUCCUACGGGAGGCAGCAGUGGGGAAUUUUGGACAAUGGGCGCAAGCCUGAUCCAGCAAUGCCGCGUGCAGGAUGAAGGCCU